CGCAGACCACCACAGCUGCCACUGCCUCAGUUAGAAGCACAAAGGACCCCUGCCCCUCCCAGCCCCCAGUGUUCCCAGCAGCUAAGCAGUGUCCAGCAUUGGAAGUGACCUGGCCAGAGGUGGAAGUGCCACUGAAUGGAACGCUGAGCUUAUCCUGUGUGGCCUGCAGCCGCUUCCCCAACUUCAGCAUCCUCUACUGGCUGGGCAAUGGUUCCUUCAUUGAGCACCUCCCAGGCCGACUGUGGGAGGGGAGCACCAGCCGGGAACGUGGGAGCACAGGUACGCAGCUGUGCAAGGCCUUGGUGCUGGAGCAGCUGACCCCUGCCCUGCACAGCACCAACUUCUCCUGUGUGCUCGUGGACCCUGAACAGGUUGUCCAGCGUCACGUCGUCCUGGCCCAGCUCUGGGCUGGGCUGAGGGCAACCUUGCCCCCCACCCAAGAAGCCCUGCCCUCCAGCCACAGCAGUCCACAGCAGCAGGGUUAAGACUCAGCACAGGGCCAGCAGCAGCACAACCUUGACCAGAGCUUGGGUCCUACCUGUCUACCUGGAGUGAACAGUCCCUGACUGCCUGUAGGCUGCGUGGAUGCGCAACACACCCCCUCCUUCUCUGCUUUGGGUCCCUUCUCUCACCAAAUUCAAACUCCAUUCCCACCUACCUAGAAAAUCACAGCCUCCUUAUAAUGCCUCCUCCUCCUGCCAUUCUCUCUCCACCUAUCCAUUAGCCUUCCUAACGUCCUACUCCUCACACUGCUCUACUGCUCAGAAACCACCAAGACUGUUGAUGCCUUAGCCUUGCACUCCAGGGCCCUACCUGCAUUUCCCACAUGACUUUCUGGAAGCCUCCCAACUAUUCUUGCUUUUCCCAGACAGCUCCCACUCCCAUGUCUCUGCUCAUUUAGUCCCGUCUUCCUCACCGCCCCAGCAGGGGAACGCUCAAGCCUGGUUGAAAUGCUGCCUCUUCAGUGAAGUCAUCCUCUUUCAGCUCUGGCCGCAUUCUGCAGACUUCCUAUCUUCGUGCUGUAUGUUUUUUUUUUCCCCCUUCACUCUAAUGGACUGUUCCAGGGAAGGGAUGGGGGCAGCAGCUGCUUCGGAUCCACACUGUAUCUGUGUCAUCCCCACAUGGGUCCUCAUAAAGGAUUAUUC
rnacentral:lncRNA from 1 species